UCUCCCGCGCUGGCGGCUGGGGCUUCUCAGCCUCUAUUCCCUGGCUGUCCCCUUUGUUUGAAGCUCCAGUGAGGGAGCAGUGGCUGGGGUGGCCCAGCUUCAAAGUCUCUGUCCUCUUGAAAAAAGGUGGUCGGGGGACAUUGACCCACCAGCCCCGCAGGCUACUGCCUGCAAACAAGAACCCCUCAUCUGCCACGCACGUUCUUAAUGUAUCUAUAGUCUGCCUGAUGCCACAAAGGAGUCCAGACAGGGUCUCGCUCUGUCACACAGGCUGGAGUGCAGUGGUGUGAUCUUGGCUCAUCGUAACCUCCACCU
rnacentral:lncRNA from 10 species